CAGUCGCCACGGUAAUACGUAGGGUGCAAGCGUUAAUCGGAAUUACUGGGCGUAAAGCGUGCGCAGGCGGUUAUGCAAGACAGAUGUGAAAUCCCCGGGCUUAACCUGGGAACUGCAUUUGUGACUGCAUAGCUAGAGUGCGGCAGAGGGGGAUGGAAUUCCGCGUGUAGCAGUGAAAUGCGUAGAUAUGCGGAGGAACACCGAUGGCGAAGGCAAUCCCCUGGGCCUGCACUGACGCUCAUGCACGAAAGCGUGGGGAGCAAACAGGAUUAGAUACCCCUGUAGUCCCUGUCUCUUAUAU
rnacentral:rRNA from 1 species